rnacentral:tRNA from 2 species
GGGCGGUUAGCUCAGUUGGUAGAGCGUCUCGUUUACACUGAGACGCUUGACCGCGAAGCGCCCG